rnacentral:rRNA from 1 species
GACGAACGCUGGCGGCGUGCUUAACACAUGCAAGUCGAACGGAAAGGCCCUGCUUUUGUGGGGUGCUCGAGUGGCGAACGGGUGAGUAACACGUGAGUAACCUGCCCUUGACUUUGGGAUAACUUCAGGAAACUGGGGCUAAUACCGUAUAGGAGCUCCUGCUGCAUGGUGGGGGUUGGAAAGUUUCGGCGGUUGGGGAUGGACGCGCGGCUUAUCAGCUUGUUGGUGGGGUAGUGGCUUACCAAGGCUGUGACGGGUAGCCGGCCUGAGAGGGUGACCGGCCACAUUGGGACUGCGAUACGGCCCAGACUCCUACGGGAGGCAGCAGUGGGGAAUAUUGCACAAUGGGCGGAAGCCUGAGGCAGAGACGCCGCGUGCGGGAUGACGGCCUUCGGGUUGUAAACCGCUUUCGCCUGUGACGAAGCGUGAGUGACGGUAAUGGGUAAAGAAGCACCGGCUAACUACGUG